rnacentral:rRNA from 1 species
AUUGAACGCUGGCGGCAUGCUUUACACAUGCAAGUCGAACGGUAACAGGCCGCCAGGUGCUGACGAGUGGCGAACGGGUGAGUAAUGCAUCGGAACGUGCCCAGUCGUGGGGGAUAACUACUCGAAAGAGUAGCUAAUACCUCAUACGAUCUAUGGAUGACAGCGGGGGACCGUAAGGCCUCGCGCGAUUGGAGCGGCCGAUGUCAGAUUAGGUAGUUGGUGGGGUAAAGGCUCACCAAGCCAACGAUCUGUAGCUGGUCUGAGAGGACGACCAGCCACACUGGGACUGAGACACGGCCCAGACUCCUACGGGAGGCAGCAGUGGGGAAUUUUGGACAAUGGGCGCAAGCCUGAUCCAGCAAUGCCGCGUGCAGGAAGAAGGCCUUCGGGUUGUAAACUGCUUUUGUACGGAACGAAACGGCUCUGGUUAAUACCCGGGGCUAAUGACGGUACCGUAAGAAUAAGCACCGGCUAACUACGUG